AAGCCAUGCGAGUCAUGGGGCGCCUUGUGCGCACCGGCGGACGGCUCAGUAACACGUCGGUAACCUACCCUCGGGAGGGGGAUAACCCCGGGAAACUGGGGCUAAUCCCCCAUAGGCCUGAGGUACUGGAAGGUCCUCAGGCCGAAAGGGGCUCUGCCCGCCCGAGGAUGGGCCGGCGGCCGAUUAGGUAGUUGGUGGGGUAACGGCCCACCAAGCCGAAGAUCGGUACGGGCCAUGAGAGUGGGAGCCCGGAGAUGGACACUGAGACACGGGUCCAGGCCCUACGGGGCGCAGCAGGCGCGAAACCUCCGCAAUGCGGGCAACCGCGACGGGGGGACCCCCAGUGCCGUGGCAUCGCCACGGCUUUUCCGGAGUGUAAAGAGCUCCGGGAAUAAGGGCUGGGCAAGGCCGGUGGCAGCCGCCGCGGUAAUACCGGCGGCCCGAGUGGUGGCCGCUAUUAUUGGGCCUAAAGCGUCCG
rnacentral:rRNA from 1 species